rnacentral:rRNA from 1 species
GAUGAACGCUGGCGGCGUGCCUAAUACAUGCAAGUCGAGCGAACAGACGAGGAGCUUGCUCCUCUGACGUUAGCGGCGGACGGGUGAGUAACACGUGGAUAACCUACCUAUAAGACUGGGAUAACUUCGGGAAACCGGAGCUAAUACCGGAUAAUAUAUUGAACCGCAUGGUUCAAUAGUGAAAGACGGUUUUGCUGUCACUUAUAAAUGGAUCCGCGCCGCAUUAGCUAGUUGGUAAGGUAACGGCUUACCAAGGCAACGAUGCGUAGCCGACCUGAGAGGGUGAUCGGCCACACUGGAACUGAGACACGGUCCAGACUCCUACGGGAGGCAGCAGUAGGGAAUCUUCCGCAAUGGGCGAAAGCCUGACGGAGCAACACCGCGUGAGUGAUGAAGGUCUUCGGAUCGUAAAACUCUGUUAUUAGGGAAGAACAAAUGUGUAAGUAACUAUGCACGUCUUGACGGUACCUAAUCAGAAAGCCACGGCUAACUACGUG